GCCUUCGUAGUGCAGUGGUCAACACACUGAGCCCAUAAUCCAGAGGUCCAUGGUUCGAGUCCCUAUGAAGACG
rnacentral:tRNA from 1 species